rnacentral:rRNA from 1 species
CAGCCGCCGCGGUAAUACGUAGGGUGCAAGCGUUAAUCGGAAUUACUGGGCGUAAAGCAUGCGCAGGCGGUUUGUUAAGACAGAUGUGAAAUCCCCGGGCUUAACCUGGGAACUGCAUUUGUGACUGGCGGGCUAGAGUAUGGCAGAGGGGGGUAGAAUUCCACGUGUAGCAGUGAAAUGCGUAGAGAUGUGGAGGAAUACCGAUGGCGAAGGCAGCCCCCUGGGCCAAUACUGACGCUCAUGCACGAAAGCGUGGGGAGCAAACAGGAUUAGAUACCCGCGUAGUCCCUGUCUCUUAUAC